ACGAGGACCUACCGGAGGGCAAGACUAAUGCCAGCCGCUGCGGUAAUUUUAGCUCCGGUAGCGUAUACUAAAAUUGUUGCAGUUAAAAAGCUCGUAGUCGGACCUCUGCUCCGGACGCCGGGGGCCGCUCGCGCGGUCUCCCGCUGCGCUUCCGGGCAUUCUGCCCGCCACCUCGCGGGGUGAUUUUAAAAGGUCGUCCCCGGGUGGAAGGCGGUGAUCGCUUUGCAAAAAUUAGAGUGCUCAGAGCAGGCCCUGCCGCCUGGAUAGUAAUGCACGGAACGAUGGAAGACGCCCUCGGUCCCGGGUUUCCGUGGGAACAGGUCGACGGAGACCGAGGGAAUGAUCGAUAGGAGCAGACGGGGGCAUCCGUAUUCCGACGCUAGAGGUGAAAUUCUUGGACCGUCGGAAGACGACCCACUGCGAAGGCAUUUGCCAAGAAUGCUUCCAUUGACCAAGAACGAAAGUCAGAGGCUCAAAGAAGAUUAGAUACCUUUGUAGUUCUGACCGUAAACGAUACCCUCCAGCGAUCCGGCUGCGUACGA
rnacentral:rRNA from 1 species